ensembl:lncRNA
GGAAUGCAUUCCCUGGCAUUGCUUACCCCCAUCCAGCUGAUCCACUGUAUACAGAAAAGUGAAUGAGAUUAGAGCUACUCUUCUCAAAGUUAUUAAGAGCCUGCUCUCUGCAGAGUCCCCUAUGCCUCUGCUUAGCCUAAUGAAUUCCCACAAGAGUCCUAGGCAAAAGCUGCCCUUCCACACAGAGGCAGCCAGCAGCUGUAAAUCAUAAAGGAAACACCCAAGAUCCUCUAAAGUCUGGUAGAGGAGUUAAGAGUUGAGAAACAUGAAUGCAUGCCUCCUACUUCUUGGAAAAACAGAGAGCCUUGCAGGUUUGAUUUUGUCUUUCCUCAAGUGGAUAAGGAACUGCUCAACCCCCCCUAGGAUGCCUGAACACAUUGCGGCUCUGAAGACUGUGGCUUUGGUCUUCCUGACUCUCUCAACCUGGUCUUAGACUUAGUUUCCCUCAUUCCCUCUGACAUUUUCUGAUGUUGGCUGGGGAAGUUGAGCUGGGUCAUCCUUCUCCUGAGAGCUUUCAACAGGAGCUCACCUCCCACCAAUGUGUCAGCUUUGCUGAACUGCUUGUUGAUUGCAGCCAACUGGAAAGCCAGCUGUCCACCUCUGUGUCCACUGGUCCUCUUCAAAUUCUGGUACAUCUAGAGGAUUUCUCAAGAAACCAUUAUCUUCUUUAGUCUUUGGUGCUGAACUUUCUUCCUGUUUUCCUGAGGCAUCUUCUAAGAUUAGAUGCCAGCAUUAAAGAACCCUCACGUGUUUCAUGCUUUCAUGCAUCAAUAAAUGUUUACUGAACAUUUAGUGUGUGGCCA